rnacentral:rRNA from 1 species
UACGAAGGGGGCUAGCGUUGCUCGGAAUCACUGGGCGUAAAGGGUGCGUAGGCGGGUCUUUAAGUCAGGGGUGAAAUCCUGGAGCUCAACUCCAGAACUGCCUUUGAUACUGAAGAUCUUGAGUUCGGAGAGGUGAGUGGAACUGCGAGUGUAGAGGUGAAAUUCGUAGAUAUUCGCAAGAACACCAGUGGCGAAGGCGGCUCACUGGCCCGAUACUGACGCUGAGGCACGAAAGCGUGGGGAGCAAACGGG